CACGGCAGGUGGAUGCGGCUUCCUCAGUUCACCAUGCUCAUAAAGAAAACAGCUGUGUAUUUCAGCUGCAAGCCUGAGAAAGAACUGAGAAAACGUACUAAAAAGUAAAGACAGACACCAGAAAGAGGCCCAAGAAGACUUGGACGCAGGAACAGAGGACAGCGAGGGAUGUUCAGAACUCACUCAGUCCGGUUUGGAGAAUGACUUCUCAACCCAAGACUAAGAGCAGCUGUGAGAAAGCAUCAGUUUGGAAGCAUUUGGGAAAAUGUAAAGUGCUAAAGAAGGUUCCUGGCAAAGAGGAUUGACUGUUAUGGGUCAGAGCCAGCUCUCACAAACAGAACAUGGAAAGACAUGAAAACCUGGUGCACAACAAAAUGCAAACAGAAAAGGCUCUCCGCAGCCGGUAAAAGGCUAGCAUGCCACAAAGAUGACACAGGUGAAUGGGAGAGUUGUAAAAGACAAAAAGCUUUUUAGACAUAGCUCCAAAAUGCAGGUGCUAGUUGAGCUCAUGAGCUAGUUCUGUUUUGUGGUGGAAAACUUAGUGUGUCGAGCAUAAUAUGUCAACCCUGUUACCAAUAGAUAAAAACGCUAGACAUUUUUUAGCAAU